rnacentral:piRNA from 1 species
CCCAAAUCACUCAUAAGAAAUGGUCUUGAUGC